rnacentral:rRNA from 1 species
CGGGUGAGUAACACGUAUCCAACCUGCCGUCUACUCUUGGACAGCCUUCUGAAAGGAAGAUUAAUACAAGAUGGCAUCAUGAGUCCGCAUGUUCACAUGAUUAAAGGUAUUCCGGUAGACGAUGGGGAUGCGUUCCAUUAGAUAGUAGGCGGGGCAACGGCCCACCUAGUCUUCGAUGGAUAGGGGUUCUGAGAGGAAGGUCCCCCACAUUGGAACUGAGACACGGUCCAA